AACGAACGCUGGCGGCAGGCUUAACACAUGCAAGUCGAGCGGGGACUUCGGUCCUAGCGGCGAACGGGUGAGGAAUGCUUGGGAAUCUGCCCAGUAGCGGGGGAUAACGUUUCGAAAGGAACGCUAAUACCGCAUACGCCCUACGGGGGAAAGGGGGGGAUCUUCGGACCUCUCACUAUUGGAUGAGCCCAAGUCGGAUUAGCUAGUUGGUGGGGUAAAGGCCUACCAAGGCGACGAUCCGUAGCUGGUCUGAGAGGAUGAUCAGCCACACUGGAACUGAGACACGGUCCAGACUCCUACGGGAGGAAGCAGUGGGGAAUAUUGGACAAUGGGCGAAAGCCUGAUCCAGCCAUGCCGCGUGUGUGAAGAAGGCCUUCGGGUUGUAAAGCACUUUAAGCGAGGAGGAAUGGCUGAGGGUUAAUAACCUUCAGCAGUGACGUUACUCGCAGAAUAAGCACCGGCUAACUCUGUGCCAGCAGCCGCCGUAAAAC
rnacentral:rRNA from 1 species